CCUACGGGAGGCAGCAGUGAGGAAUAUUGGUCAAUGGGCGGAAGCCUGAACCAGCCAAGUAGCGUGCAGGAUGACGGCCCUACGGGUUGUAAACUGCUUUUAUACGGGAAUAACGCGCCUUACGUGUAGGGCUUUGCAUGUAACGUAUGAAUAAGGACCGGCUAAUUCCGUGCCAGCAGCCGCGGGAAUACGGAAGGUCCGGGCGUUAUCCGGAUUUUUUGGGGUUAAGGGGAGCGUAGGCCGCAUGUCCAGCGUGCUGUGAAAUGUCCGGGCUCAACCCGGGCCUUGCAGCUGAAACUGGCGUGCUUGAGUCCGCGGAAAGCAGGCGGAAUGCGUCGUGUAGCGGUGAAAUGCUUAGAUAUGACGAAGAACCCCGAUUGCGAAGGCAGCUUGCUGCAGCGGAACUGACGCUGAUGCUCGAAAGCGCGGGUAUCGAACAGGAUUAGAUACCCCGGUAGUC
rnacentral:rRNA from 1 species